GUGUCAGCAGCCGCGGUAAUACAGAGGGUGCGAGCGUUAAUCGGAGUAACUGGGCGUAAAGGGCGCGUAGGCGGUGAUGUGAGUGUGAUGUGAAAGCCCCGGGCUUAACCUGGGAAGUGCAUCGCAAACGACAUGACUGGAGUAGAUGAGAGGGUGGCGGAAUUUCCGGUGUAGCGGUGAAAUGCGUAGAGAUCGGAAGGAACGUCGAUGGCGAAGGCAGCCACCUGGCAUCAUACUGACGCUGAGGCGCGAAAGCGUGGGGAGCGAACAGGAUUAGAUACCCUUGUAGUCC
rnacentral:rRNA from 1 species